GAUGAACGCUGACAGAAUGCUUAACACAUGCAAGUCGAUGGGGAAGUGGUGCUUGCACCAUGGCAACCAUGGCGGACGGGUGAGUAACGCGUAAGGGACUUACCUGCAGGACUGGGAUAACAGGGGGAAACUCCUGACAAGACCGGAUAAUGUCAUGGAGCUGCAUGGCUUUAUGAUGAAAGGAGACGCCUGCGGAGAGCCUUGCGUCCUAUUAGCUAGUUGGUGAGGUAAUGGCUCACCAAGGCGAAGAUAGGUAGCCGGCCUGAGAGGGUGGACGGCCACAAGGGGACUGAGAUACGGCCCUUACUCCUACGGGAGGCAGCAGUGGGGAAUGUUGGACAAUGGGGGCAACCCUGAUCCAGCAAUUCUGUGUGCACGAAGAAGGUUUUCGGAUUGUAAAGUGCUUUCAGCAGGGAAGAAGUAAGUGACGGUACCUGCAGAAGAAGCGACGGCUAAAUACGUG
rnacentral:rRNA from 1 species